rnacentral:lncRNA from 1 species
CCUGAAGGUCAUUUCUUGUCCCUGGUCUCUUCUCUCUGUUUCCCAGUUGCUGUGAGCUGAGCUACUCUCCUCCGUCACACCCUCUGCCAUGAUGUUCUGCCUCCUCUCGGGCCCAAAGCAAUGGAGCCAGCCAACCAUGGACUCCGAAACCAUGAACCAGAAUAAAUAUUUCCUCCUCGAAGCUGAUUUUCCCAGGUAUUUUGUUACAGCGAUGAAAAGCUGACUAACAAGGGGCCAGGGGAGGAAGGAGGAAGGGAGGAGAGAAGAAAGGAAGAAAAAGAGUGAAAGAGAGAAACAGAACCUGAUGGAAAAGCUGCUCCCUGUGUAGUCAUUCUUUUGGCUUUGGACUGCAACAGGAGAUCAUUUGUCCAUCACCUUAGAAAGCCUUUCUUCUCCUCUUCUCAGAUUACCAAAGGAGGUGACCUUCAAACUGGGGGUUCGAAGCCAUUCCCUACCACGGGGAUACCAUUUCCUACUUUUAGACAUGCCUUAGUAAAUAUUUGUCUAUUGAUUGAUUAUGUCUACGUUGCCCAUCAAACCAUAUCCACCCCAGGAUGUGUGAUGCAUAACUAAUGGAUUCCCACCGCCAUCUGGCAGGCUGCGUGAGUUCACAGCUCAUGUUACAGCAGAAGCAAGACCACGGCCAAACUGAAAGCAAAAGUGGGCUACAGCACCGUCUUACCUGACCAGAGAAAGUCCCCGUCGGGCCACCUCAGUCCUCUCUUCCUUUAGCAGUUAGCCCUGUCUGCAGUUUUUCAGACAGGGCCCUUUACCUGCCCUGGCAGAGGUAAAUCCUAAUUUCCAAACUGUUCAGUUACCAAAGAAGAGUGAGCUUAUUUGUAGUGUUCCCAAGCUUUCUUUAGUUUGAAUCAUCCUUUCAUCACUAAUUAUUAUAACACAAUUGAAUGUUAUUUGGACGAUGGAUUCUGAGGACUUCACUACUCAGGAGAAGAUGCUCAAGUAUAUUCUCUAAAACUCAAAAUUUUAUGUUUCAUAAUUAUAGGAAAAUAUCUUGAUUAACCUGCUUGAAACUCUCGUUCCUAUCAUUAGCUCUUCACCUUGAGAUGGGUCACUAGAUACUUCUAAGUAAUACUGGAGCCAAUGAGGAUGCUGGCGGUCACAAUUACUUUCAGGGUAAUUUAUGGUCUUAAUAAUUCUUCUGUGAAACAUUUGUUCCCUUAAGAAGUACUUACUGCCAUGUCUUUUUCACAUUAUCCCACUCCCAGGUUGGAAAUUUUCUCUGCAUCAUAUUCACAUAUGCAAGUCUGUAAUAUAUUAGCCAUUCCUGUGAUUGUAAGUCACGGCGAGCCAACUCAGAUUGGUUUAGAAUAACAAUUCUAUUUCAUUGAUUUUAAAAUCUGCGUUACAGGGCUGGGGUUGUAGCUCAGCGAUAGAGCACUUAACCUCGCAAGUGAGGCGCUGGGUUCGAUCCUAGCACCACAUAAAAACAAAUAAAGGCAUUGAGUCCAUACACAACUAAAAAAAUAGAUAGAUGAUAGAUAGAUAGAUAGAUCUGCAUUGCAUUUCUUUUCAAUAUCGCUGACAUAAAAUGUGCCUAACAACUGGUGUCACAUCCCAGUUUCACUGCAAGUGUAUUUUACAUAAACACAUACGUAACAUGAUGGUGCUUUUUUAAACUGAUGGUGUCUGAGACACCGUUUACAGCAGGUUGUGAGAAGCCUGUAAUAAGGGCGGGUCUCAGGGGUUAUUGAACGAGGAGCUCAGACACCACUGGAACUCUGACUAUGACCUUGGCUUCCCUCUUUGGUUGGCUUUAUUUCUUUUCAAUGCAGACUGGCUUCCUCUAAGUGGCAA